rnacentral:rRNA from 1 species
AACCCGCCCUCAUGAAGUCGGAGUUGCUAGUAAUCGCGGAUCAGCAUGCCGCGGUGAAUACGUUCCCGGGCCUUGUACACACCGCCCGUCACACCAUGGGAGUCGGUAACACCCGAAGCCUGUAGUCUAACCGCAAGGAGGACGCAGUCGAAGGUGGGAUUGAUGACUGGGGUGAAGUCGUAACAAGGUAUC